GAGUAGGUCAGACAAUCGCGGGCAAUAGAAAUAUUGUGUGAGGAAAGUCCGGGCUCCACAGGGCAGGGAUGCCGGCUAACGGCCGGUGAGGGCGACCUUAAGGAUAGUGCAACAGAAAAUAAAUGCCGUGCAAUGUACGGCGAUUGUGGAAAUGUGCGGUAAGAGCGCACAGGGAAUAUGGCAACUGACUUCCCGUGUAAACCCCAUCCGGAGCAACAUACAACAGCAUAAUUAAGCUUGCUCGGCGCUAUGCGAAAGAAUGGCUUGAGCUUCGCAGCAAUGCGCAGCCACAGAUAGAUGAUUGUCUGAUACAGAACCCGGCUUACAGACCUGCUCAU
rnacentral:RNase_P_RNA from 1 species